rnacentral:lncRNA from 1 species
AUGUGGUGGCAGAUGCGUUGAGCAGGAAGGCAGUGCAGAGCUUGAGUAUGUUGAUCACUCGGCAGGGACCGUUACUCGAGGAGCUGAGACGGCUGGGACUCGAGGUAGUGUCCCCUGGAUUUACUGCGAGAUUGAUGUCUAUGAUCUUGCAGCCCACUCUGUUGGAUAGAAUCCGAGAGAAACAGAGUGGAGAUCCGUAUUUGUUGAGGAUUAGAGAGCAGUUAGAUAGGGGGCAGGCUGAGGGAUUUGCUUUGGACAGUUCGGGAGUACUACGGUACAGGGACCGACUGUGUGUGCCUGUGGAUCCGGAGAUUCGAGCGGAUAUUCUGAGAGAGG